rnacentral:rRNA from 1 species
UACAGAGGGUGCGAGCGUUAAUCGGAAUUACUGGGCGUAAAGGGCGCGUAGGCGGCCCGCUAAGUCGAACGUGAAAUCCCCAGGCUCAACCUGGGAACUGCGUCCGAUACUGGCAGGCUUGAAUCCGGGAGAGGGAUGUGGAAUUCCAGGUGUAGCGGUGAAAUGCGUAGAUAUCUGGAGGAACACCGGUGGCGAAGGCGGCAUCCUGGACCGGUAUUGACGCUGAGGCGCGAAAGCUAGGGUAGCAAACGGG